AAACUCGCAUAGACGGUGACACCAGAUUACUCUCUAGGUGUUAGUGAGAAACUAUGUGCCACCACGAGCUCGC
rnacentral:lncRNA from 1 species